AACGAACGCUGGCGGCAUGCCUAACACAUGCAAGUCGAACGAGACCUUCGGGUCUAGUGGCGCACGGGUGCGUAACGCGUGGGAACCUGCCCUUAGGUUCGGAAUAACUCCCCGAAAGGGGUGCUAAUACCGGAUAAUGUCUUCGGACCAAAGAUUUAUCGCCUUUGGAUGGGCCCGCGUUGGAUUAGCUAGUUGGUAGGGUAAAAGCCUACCAAGGCGACGAUCCAUAGCUGGUCUGAGAGGAUGAUCUGCCACACUGGGACUGAGACACGGCCCAGACUCCUACGGGAGGCAGCAGUGGGGAAUAUUGGACAAUGGGCGAAAGCCUGAUCCAGCAAUGCCGCGUGAGUGAUGAAGGCCUUAGGGUUGUAAAGCUCUUUUACCCGGGAUGAUAAUGACAGUACCGGGAGAAUAAGCUCCGGCUAACUCCGUG
rnacentral:rRNA from 1 species